CAGUCGCCGCGGUAAUACGUAGGGUGCAAGCGUUAUCCGGAAUUAUUGGGCGUAAAGAGCUCGUAGGCGGUCUGUCGCGUCUGCUGUGAAAACUGGGGGCUCAACCCCCAGCCUGCAGUGGGUACGGGCAGACUAGAGUGCGGUAGGGGAGAUUGGAAUUCCUGGUGUAGCGGUGGAAUGCGCAGAUAUCAGGAGGAACACCGAUGGCGAAGGCAGAUCUCUGGGCCGUAACUGACGCUGAGGAGCGAAAGCGUGGGGAGCGAACAGGAUUAGAGACCCCUGUAGUCCCUGUCUCUUAUAC
rnacentral:rRNA from 1 species